rfam:Gavia stellata contig42012, whole genome shotgun sequence.
GGGGAUGUAGCUCAGUGGCAGAGUACCUGCUUUGCAUGUAGGAGAUCCUGGGUUCAAUCCCCAGCAUCUCCA